GUCUAACGAAGUCUGGUCCCUAUGACAGCUAGGAUGUUGGCUUGGAAGCAGCCAUUCAUUCAAAGAGUGCGUAACAGCUCACUAGUCGAGGGUCCGGGCAUGGAUAAUAAUCGGGUAUAAGGCAGACACCGAAGGCGCGGGAUAGCAUUUAAGAAAGUAUCGGUAGGGGAGCAUACUCACAGCGUUGAAUGGUGUACGUAAGUUAUCCUGGAGCGGUGAGUAAAGCAAAUGUAGGAAUAAGUAACGAUAAGGAGGGUUAGAUUCCCUCCCGCUGUAAGACCAAGGUUUCCCGGGCAAUGCCAAUCAGCCCGGGGUCAGUCGGGUCCUAAGUCUAAGCCGAACGGCGAUGGCGAUGGCAGAGACGGUUAAUAUUCCGUCACUGCCGCAUGGGGCGAUGUGGAGACGGAGCAGUGAAACCACCGCGGGGCGACGGAAGUCCCCGUUGAAGAGUGUAGGCGUUGAGGAUGGCAGGCAAAUCCACCGUCCGAGCUGAACUUGAUAGUAUGGAGUCUUCUUCGGAAGAAUCCAAUAGUGUGGGUAAUCAUACUCCCGAGAAAAUCCGCUAAGCUUAACCCAUGCGGCACCCGUACCGCAAACGGACACACGUGGUCGGGUAGAGCAUACUGAGGCGUUGAGAGAUUCAUGGUUAAGGAACUAGGCAAAUUGACCCUGUAACUUCGGGAUAAAGGGUCCUCGUGAAGAGCGAGGCGCAGAGAAUAGGUCCAGGCAACUGUUUAACAAAAACACAGGGCUGUGCAAACUCGAAAGAUGACGUAUACAGCCUGACACCUGCCCGGUGCCGGAAGGUUAAGAGGAGAUGUCACACUUAUGUGGAAGCAUUGAAUUGAAGCCCCGGUAAACGGCGGCCGUAACAAUAACGGUCCUAAGGUAGCGAAAUUCCUUGUCGGGUAAGUUCCGACCUGCACGAAUGGUGUAAUGAUCCGGACGCUGUCUCAACCAUGAGCUCAGUGAAAUUGUAGUAUCGGUGAAGAUGCCGAUUACCCGCGAUGGGACGAAAAGACCCCGUGAACCUUUACUACAGCUUAGCAUUGACCUUGGUCAUCCGAUGUGUAGGAUAGGCCGGAGGCUUCGAAGCGGGAGCGCCAGCUUUCGUGGAGCCAUCCUUGGAAUACGGCCCUUUGGCUGUCUGAGGUCUAACGCGCGAUGCGCGGACACUGCUUGGUGGGUAGUUUGACUGGGGUGGUCGCCUCCAAAAGCGUAACGGAGGCUUCCAAAGGUGCCCUCGGGUCGAUUGGUAACCGACCUCAAAGAGUGCAAUGGCAUAAGGGCGCUUGACUGGGAGGCAGACAUGCCGAGCAGGCAGGAAACUGGGGCAUAGUGAUCCGGCGGAUGUGUAUGGAAACUCCGUCGCUCAAAGGAUAAAAGGUACUCCGGGGAUAACAGGCUGAUCCCCCCCAAGAGCUCAUAUCGACGGGGUGGUUUGGCACCUCGAUGUCGGCUCGUCACAUCCUGGGGCUGGAGAAGGUCCCAAGGGUUGGGCUGUUCGCCCAUUAAAGUGGCACGCGAGCUGGGUUCAGAACGUCGUGAGACAGUUCGGUCUCUAUCUAUCGUGGGCGUGGGAGUUUUGCGUGGUGCCGUCACUAGUACGAGAGGACCGUGAUGGACAGACCUCCGGUUUACCAGUUGUGCCGCCAGGCGCACCGCUGGGUAUCUGAGUCUGGAUUGGAUAAGCGCUGAAAGCAUCUAAGUGCGAAGCCAGCCGCAAGAUGAGAACUCCAUUGAGGGUCGUCAGAGACGAUGACGUUGAUAGGAUGCAGGUGUAAAGACAGCGAUGUCAAAGCCGAGCAUUACUAAUUGCAC
rnacentral:rRNA from 1 species